rnacentral:lncRNA from 1 species
UGAUGAGAAAGUGGUUAUAUAUAAAUGAUGUAAAUUCAUAUGUUUUGGUGAAAGACAUGCGAUGAAAUUGUGAAAAAGAAUGUAAAAUGUGGAAAGCUUGUAUUUGGUUAAAUGUAAUCAAGAUACAUGUAUAAAUGGAAUAGUAGUAGUACUUUCACUUGUUGUGGUUGUUGCUUGCCCUCGUGCAAGCCGUGUAUACUCGAAUUUCAUCUUUGUUUGAUUUGCUAUGCAUGUUGGUGGAGCUUUGGGCGGACAGAGGAGGUUCUGUCCGUUCGGCAUCUGU